GGGCCUGAGAAAUGCUGAUCCAGUGCUCCCGGUAGCUGUAGGCACCUCUGGCACAGCCCUGACUUCACAAAAAGGACUUCACCAAAGUGGAGGGAGUGAGUGAUCCUGUAACUCCUGGUGCAGGCCCUGCCGUGACCACAGCAAUGCAGGAUCCCAGCCGCAUCUGCAACCUACACCACAGCUCACAGCAAUGCCAGAUCCUUAACCCACUGAGCAAGGCCAGGGAUCAAACCCGCAACCUCAUAUUUCCUAGUCAGAUUCGUUAACUGCUGCACCACGACAGGAACUCCCCAAAAAGAAAUUUAAUGAGAAGAGUAGCAAUGUUUUAUAUUUUUGCCAAUCUUUUAAUUCUUGAAUUUUCUUAAGAAAAUUAGCUAGAUACUUACAUCUUCUGCUUUAUCGUGUGAUGGUUUUGGCUGAAGUAAUGGAGAAAAUCCAGCCUCCCAUAGUUAUAGUUAGAAAGGAAAGAAUUAUUAGACUUUACAGAUAACAUUCUCCUUUGAAACUGUUCCCAGGUUCAACAGGAAAUAAUUUCUUAGGGUUAUUGCAAUGUAGAAUCUGAAACCACAUCAGAGUACUUUUUUGUACUCUGUUACAUGAAAAUACUUGGGUCUGUCCUGUACUUUGAGUCUUUUAUCCAUUCAGGGUUUUGUGAAAUUAUGCAUUGUUCAUUUAGAAAAUAUUUAUGGCCAAGUUUUUCAGACCUUUCACAUAUUGACAAGUUUGAUUUCACAAUAUUUUUAAAAAUGACAUUCAUCAGGCCCACCACCCAUCUCCUCAAAAAUGGUCUGUCUCAGAGUUCCCCUGUGGUGCAGUGGGUUAAGGAUCCAGCAUUGUCACCACAGGGGCUUGGGUCGCUGCUGUGGCUUGGGUUCCAUCCCUGGCUCAGGAAUUUCUGCAUGCCAUGGGAGUUGCAAAAAAAAAAAAAAA
rnacentral:lncRNA from 1 species